rnacentral:tRNA from 1 species
GCGCCUGUAGCUCAGUUGGAUAGAGCGUCGGGUUGCGGACCCGGAGGUCGAGAGUUCGAGUCUCUCCAGGCGUG